rnacentral:lncRNA from 1 species
GCCAGCUCUGCCUUUUCCUUUCCCACUGGGAUCAAACCUCUCCUUGUGAGAACCUGUGAAUUUUGAUGUAUCUGUAAGGCGUGACACAGUUGGAGAUGAAAUCGCUUUCGUUACUCCAGAUAUAAUUGGUGCUUUUCCUUCAAUUAGUUUAUAUAUUUCUUGAAUUGCUUCCUCAUCACUUUUUUCUUUAAAUCGCUUCUUGGAAAGUUCCUGAAGAGCUUCUUUAAACUGCUCAAAAGUAAUAGUUCUAGAAGACUUUCCCUUGAUUUUACUGAAGACAAUGUCAACAUCUGUGAUUGUCACAUUCUUCCCAUCUAUCACCUGACAGUCCUUACACAGCUUAGACCAGUU